GAAAGGCGCGCGAUACAGGGUGACAGCCCCGUACACAAAAAUGCACAUGCUGUGAGCUCGAUGAGUAGGGCGGGACACGUGGUAUCCUGUCUGAAUAUGGGGGGACCAUCCUCCAAGGCUAAAUACUCCUGACUGACCGAUAGUGAACCAGUACCGUGAGGGAAAGGCGAAAAGAACCCCGGCGAGGGGAGUGAAAAAGAACCUGAAACCGUGUACGUACAAGCAGUGGGAGCACGCUUAGGCGUGUGACUGCGUACCUUUUGUAUAAUGGGUCAGCGACUUAUAUUCUGUAGCAAGGUUAACCGAAUAGGGGAGCCGAAGGGAAACCGAGUCUUAACUGGGCGUUAAGUUGCAGGGUAUAGACCCGAAACCCGGUGAUCUAGCCAUGGGCAGGUUGAAGGUUGGGUAACACUAACUGGAGGACCGAACCGACUAAUGUUGAAAAAUUAGCGGAUGACUUGUGGCUGGGGGUGAAAGGCCAAUCAAACCGGGAGAUAGCUGGUUCUCCCCGAAAGCUAUUUAGGUAGCGCCUCGUGAAUUCAUCUCCGGGGGUAGAGCACUGUUUCGGCAAGGGGGUCAUCCCGACUUACCAACCCGAUGCAAACUGCGAAUACCGGAGAAUGUUAUCACGGGAGACACACGGCGGGUGCUAACGUCCGUCGUGAAGAGGGAAACAACCCAGACCGCCAGCUAAGGUCCCAAAGUCAUGGUUAAGUGGGAAACGAUGUGGGAAGGCCCAGACAGCCAGGAUGUUGGCUUAGAAGCAGCCAUCAUUUAAAGAAAGCGUAAUAGCUCACUGGUCGAGUCGGCCUGCGCGGAAGAUGUAACGGGGCUAAACCAUGCACCGAAGCUGCGGCAGCGACGCUGAUGCGUUGUUGGGUA
rnacentral:rRNA from 1 species